rnacentral:rRNA from 1 species
UACGAAGAGGGCUAGCGUUGCUCGGAAUCACUGGGCGUAAAGCGCACGUAGGCGGAUCUUUAAGUCAGGGGUGAAAUCCCAAGGCUCAACCUUGGAACUGCCUUUGAUACUGGGGAUCUCGAGUCCGGAAGAGGUUGGUGGAACUGCGAGUGUAGAGGUGAAAUUCGUAGAUAUUCGCAAGAACACCAGUGGCGAAGGCGGCCAACUGGUCCGGUACUGACGCUGAGGUGCGAAAGCGUGGGGAGCAAACAGG